rnacentral:rRNA from 1 species
UACGGGGGGGGUAAGCGUUGUUCGGAAUUACUGGGCGUAAAGGGCUCGUAGGCGGCCAACUAAGUCGGACGUGAAAUCCCUCAGCUUAACUGGGGAACUGCGUCCGAUACUGGAUGGCUUGGAUUUGGGAGAGGGAUGCGGAAUUCCAGGUGUAGCGGUGAAAUGCGUAGAUAUCUGGAGGAACACCGGUGGCGAAGGCGGCAUCCUGGACCAAUAUUGACGCUGAGGAGCGAAAGCGUGGGGAGCAAACAGG